rnacentral:rRNA from 1 species
UACAGAGGGUGCAAGCGUUGUCCGGAUUUAUUGGGUUUAAAGGGUGCGUAGGUGGCCUUAUAAGUCAGUGGUGAAAGCCUGCAGCUUAACUGUAGGAUUGCCAUUGAUACUGUAGGGCUUGAGUAUUGAUGAGGUAGGCGGAAUUGAUAGUGUAGCGGUGAAAUGCAUAGAUAUUAUCAAGAACACCGAUUGCGAAGGCAGCUUACUAAGGAAUAACUGACACUGAGGCACGAAAGCGUGGGGAUCAAACAGG